UACGUAGGGGGCAAGCGUUGUCCGGAAUCAUUGGGCGUAAAGCGCGUGUAGGCGGCUUGGUAAGUCCGGUGUGAAACCUUGGGGCUCAACCCCAAGCCUGCAUCGGAAACUGCCUCGACUCGAGUCCGGGAGGGGAGAGCGGAAUUCCUAGUGUAGCGGUGAAAUGCGCAGAUAUUAGGAAGAACACCGGUGGCGAAGGCGGCAUCCUGGACCGGUAUUGACGCUGAGGCGCGAAAGCUAGGGGAGCAAACGGG
rnacentral:rRNA from 1 species